UGUCACCAUCUGAAGCUGUUGCUUUUACUACCAGGCUCCUGGAGGCCGUACUCGCCUUUUUCCUAGCACGUCUGUCCGGAGCUGACCUGGGAGGCCCCGCCAGCUGCAGCCCUGCGCCUGGCUCUUCUGCCUGACCUGCACUCUGGGGACGCGCCAGGCUGUUUGGCCGCCGUAUCCACUGGCAAUCUGUUCAAGAAAAUAGACCUGAACGUGUUGCCGGGAGCUGCCCCAGCUUCGGCAUCCUGCUGCCAUCUAGGGACCAAAUGCGGUGUCCUCUGUGCUCUGGCUCCUGAAUGUACCACUAAGUCUGGGCGGGCCCCGGACAUCCUCUGUGAACCUAAGCUGGGCAUCCGAGGUCCAUUCAGGACAGUCCCCUGCCUCAGUUAGCCUCGUCGGACUUCGCUGACGUCACCCUGGCUGAGACCCACCAGACUGAAGCCGCAAAGAGGGAAGUAACACAGACAAAGGCAGUGAGAAGAAAGACAGAGAGCAAACAGCUAGGGAGACAGGAGCAAAGGCUGCAAGAACAGACACAAAGAAGAAAGCCAACGGAAAGGCUCCAUCUGGAUUUCCUCAUUAGCUGACCUAUGGUCCUGGAAGCUCCAGCCUCCUGGGGUAUCUUCACUUCAACUUCAGCCUCAUUUUCAUAUCUUAACAAAACAUCAUCUUGGGGGCUCCUGGCAGGGAAAAAGACCCAAUCACACAUUUCUUGGACUCAGAAGCUGUCUGGAAAUUGGAUUAAAGCCUCCAUGACCCAUACCUCUUGCAUUUUGCAUGCAUUCAAAACCAGCAUCCUGUGGACAACAGUAUGAAGAUCUACUGCCAAAUCAAGAUGUACUCUGGCUCACUGUGAAAGAAUCCUUCUGUACACUGUGUGAAUAUAUGUCACUGUGAUUGGUUUAAUAAACAAGUUUACUGACCAAUAGCUGAACAGGAUAAAGUUAGGUGGGAAAGCCAAAUUGAGAAUGAUGAGAAGAGGAAAGACAGAGUCAGAGGAGUUGUUAGCCAGACACAGAGGGAGCAAGAGAUGAAUGUACCAUGCUAAUAAAGGUACCAACAUGUGACAGAGUAUAAAUAAAGAAUGUGGGUUAACUUAAAAUGUAAGAGCUAGUUAGUAAUAAGCCUGAGCUAUUGACUGAGCAUUACAAUGAAAAAAAAACUUACUGAAAACAAAGCAGUAUAGUUUAUAUUUAUAGCCCAAGAAUUUAAGAGUGAAUUCAUACUAAUCAUGAAUAGCUGAGGGAUUACAAAAAGAAACUGGGUAUGGCCCUGUAUCAGCAUUACACUUAGAAAACAAACUAGCUGUUGCAUUGAUCCAACAAUAAAUAGAUGAUAAGACAACUGGAUGAUUUAACACUUUCAAAUAAUUGUUCUGAAUUUGAGGACAUUCAGCUGGAAAAGUGCUGUAUCUCAACACACAUUUAACCUGCCUGAGCCAUUUGUUUAGCUUAUCACUGUGAUGAGUAUUUGCAAUUAGGACUUGUGGACUCUUUACUGUACUCCUUGAUUUCUAACUUCAAACUCCCUGUCCAUCAUGAAAAUGAAAGAUAGAAAGGAAGAGAGAAAAUAAAAUAAGUUAAUAUUUACCUGAUUAGUUACUCUGGAACUGGAAGGGAAUUUAAGAAAACAUCUCAGGCAACUGUGCUUGGCAUCUUUUAAACCUGCACCUUAGAAUACUGGAUGGGUCCCACAUUAUAUUAUUGUUGCUUGUUACUUUUGUUCUAGUCCCCACAAUCAUUAUAAGAACUUUACAUGAAUGUAGACUGCAUUAUAAAUACUUGAAUAGGAUUGUAUAAUGUGUAGUAUAAGGGAUGCUGUAGAACUUGGUUUUAUAAACUUGGCAUCUUUCCAUGGUAUUUCAUUCAUCAUCUCUAUGACCAUAGAAGAAACAUAGCCAGAGUACUAAGGGUCACUUUAAUACCAUUCAUGUUAUUUUUAUUUCCCAGAACACCUAGAAGUUUUGUUUAUACUAUGUUUGGUCAUUUUAAUAUACAAUACUAUUACAUAUACAAAUGUACAUGCCUUAAUAAAAAAAACUAAUAUAUUGAUAAAGCUUAGUAACCACUUCUGAGAUUCCAGGGAGCCACUGUAUUCCUUCUCCUGAAGAGGGUUACACUAAUGAUGAUUUUUUUUUUCUGUAUGAUCAGUGUGAUGACAAAAGAUGGUUGGGCCAACCAUGAUAACUUCUUGAAAUAAGACAAUAAUAAAGUUUCUUAUAUUGGCUUGUUUUUCCUUUCACAAAAUAACCUGUCAUGCAUGUAAUGGUGUUUUUGAGCAUUCUGGUGCUAAGAAAACUUUCUUUGAAAUCAGAUUCAAUCUUCUUAAAUACUGGUAUUGCUUUGCCAACUAGAAUUGUGUAAUGUUCUAAAUCCUUUCUGUUACUCCAAAGUUGUUCAUAGAAUCUUCAUCAGUAGUGGAUUUAAAAGUAAGAAAUCACUUCUAUUGCUUAUUCAUAAAUAGCAAAUCCUCUUCUGUUUAUGUAUUAUCAGGAGAAAGCUGUGAUUGUCUCACACUUUUAUGAUUAUACCUCUAAUAUUGUUCCCAUCACACCUCAAAUGCUUUCUCCACUGAUGUCUUGGACCUCUGUUAUUUUUAUUUCCCAGAACACCUAGAAGUUUUGUUUAUACUAUGUUUGGUCAUUUUAAUAUACAAUAUUAUUACAUAUACAAAUGUACAUGCCUGAUCUUUGGGAAUCCAUCUGUUUUAAAGUCUUAAUAAUGGUAUUGAGGACUCUUCCCAUGAACCAUGAAUGGUAUUAAUUGGAUCAGUGUGCUGAAUAAAUCUCCAAAAGUUUUCCAUGAGUUCCAGGUUCCAUUUAGAGACCCUGCAUCAAAAAUCAACUUAGAUAGCUCCCACGUCCACUUGCAACUAGGUGAGUGCGCAUCCGAACACAUGUGCACACUCACAUGUACGCCUAUAUACACAUAGUUAUAAACACACGCACAUACAAACUAUGUCAAUUUUGCUGACCGUUUGUUGCUCAGGACAGUCACCUUGAACCAUGAUCUUAGCCUGAUCUUCCAGAUCUCUUACACAGCUCCUGGACCUGUAUGCCCUUCUUCACUUCAUGGUUUUGGUUACUUUCUUAAAAUCUCAUUUAACAACAUCUGCUAGUUUCUUUUUUUCUUACGAAUCUUCAGUCAUCAUAGGAUUGAAACAAGUCAAGGCUUAUAUGUGAAUAAAGCUAUAUCUUAAAAGAUUACUGUGGAUAUUUUGAUAUUGUCUCCAGACUCUAAUUGGCAAUAGAGUCUGCAAGCAAAUCUAUCCCUCUCUCUAAUUGGCAAUAAGUUUGUUUAACUUUCCUAUCAUUUGUAUAUUUACUGGGUAAGUAUUUUUUUAUUUAAAUCAGUAGUCUUUGUCUUUUGGGUUUUUGUUUUGUUUUGCAUUAACAAUUUUUGUAACCUAUGCCAGGGUCCUGGCUUUGGUCUUUUUCAGUUUCAACAUGCCUUUUGCACUAAGCUGAAUCAUUUGUAGUUUUAUUUGUUUGUUUGUAUUAAGAUAUGUGAAUCUUGCUUUCAUCUGAACACUUGAAGGACACAGUGAGGUGAGGAGUAUUAUUGAUAAUCUCAGUUGAACACACUGAUUAUGGUAAGACUGGGAUGAAUCAACAACUGAGAGAUGGUUGUGGAAAUGUUCCAGACAAAUUGUACCUAUAAGAUAGUAUGUUUUGCUUAUUAUGUGUCAAAUGCUUCUUCUAUGAUUUUUAUUUUAGUUUUUCCAUGUUUGGAAUCCAGACGCUGACCUGCUGGUAGUCUGGAUCUCUUAAACAAUAAUAAAUAGUAGAACAUAGUAUGCCAUAUGGCAGAUGAUGGUUUUUGUGUAUCAAUGAUGCACAUGGAUGCUAACCUCUCCAAUGAAGGGUCAAUAGAAAUACUCCAUGGUCUGGAAAGAAAAGGCUUUGUGACCACAAACAGGGCAUCUAGGAUUUGCCAACAUACUGUCUUUCCUCAUGCAUAGCCAAUUUUCUUCCCUCUGUGUUGUCUCUCACUAAAAAAUGCUCAGUCUCACCCCUCGAGGCUAGUAUUUUCAGAGAUAUUAAAAAUGUGCAUUUAAUUCA